rnacentral:rRNA from 1 species
UACAGAGGCCUCGAGCGUUAGGCGGAAUCACUGGGCUUAAAGCGUGUGUAGGCGGACUUCUAAGUACCUUGUGAAAUCCCACGGCUUACCCGUGGAACUGCUGGGUAUACUGGUUGUCUUGAGCUUUCUAGGGGCGAGUGGAACAAAUGGUGGAGCGGUGAAAUGCGUAGAUAUCAUUUGGAACGCCAAUGGUGAAAACAACUCGCUGGGGGAAGUGCUGACGCUGAGACACGAAAGCCAGGGGAGCGAACGGG